GAUGAACGCUGGCGGCGUGCCUAAUACAUGCAAGUCGAGCGAACAGACGAGGAGCUUGCUCCUCUGACGUUAGCGGCGGACGGGUGAGUAACACGUGGAUAACCUACCUAUAAGACUGGGAUAACUUCGGGAAACCGGAGCUAAUACCGGAUAAUAUAUUGAACCGCAGGGUUCAAUAGUGAAAGACGGUUUUGCUGUCACUUAUAGAUAGAUCCGCGCCGCAUUAGCUAGUUGGGAAGGUAACGGCUUACCAAGGCAACGAUGCGUAGCCGACCUGAGAGGGUGAUCGGCCACACUGGAACUGAGACGCGGUCAAUACUACUACGGGAGGCAGCAGUCGGGAAUCUUCCGCAAUGGGCGAAAGCCUGACGGAGCAACGCCGCGUGAGUGAUGAAGGUCUUCGGAUCGUAAAACUCUGUUAUUAGGGAAGAACAAAUGUGUAAGUAACUAUGCACGUCUUGACGGUACCUAAUCAGAAAGCCACGGCUAACUACGUG
rnacentral:rRNA from 1 species